CUUCUAAGAAAAGAAAAGGAAGGGCAUGCAUCUAUCAGUAGACCACACGUGGGAGCUUCUACUCUCCACCGGUUCUUUUCAUGUGGUAAAGGACAUAAAAGCGUCCCAUGAUCGGACCGUGCAGAGAAAGCAGAAGGCCAACAAAAAGUCUCACCCGGAAUUGGAUGAGGCUGGGCGGGACGGGGAGAGAGAGAAGUUUUGAGGCUGAGAACGUAAACAUCAUGAGGAGCUCGGAAGUCAUCAAAAUAAAUAGCAGGCCGGCAGGAGAAUUUAUGCCUGUGGUGCAUCAUACCGUUGAUUGAGGCGGGACCGCCGAUCUGAUGGCUGGCAGUGACCCGCGAUAAACUGAUAUGGGGACGUUGAGGGCUGGGGUGAGGUGCGGUUAUUGUUAAGUCGGUACGGGAAAUCUAUUGUUGCCUUUUGUGGAUUCCCACUGCUCCUCCUUGAGAUCGUUGGCGAAUUCUUUGAUCUGGGCUACUUUUAUUGGAAGUCCGUGAUCCAAAAAGAAAAUUCCAUCCUUAUCCACUGUAAGUGAUUUUUCUCAGUAUAUUUGUUCUUUCCUUGUACUGGUGGAUAGGACGUGAGAGCUUUAAAAAGGUGUGUUGGCGAAUUCUUUUGGUAGAAUUUGCGGAAAGUGGUGGUGGUGGUUUUGGGGAAGCUGAUGAAUUUUGUAUGCUUGGGAUUUAAGCUAUACCUAGAAUUUUAAGAAGCUCGUGGGGGAAAGCUGAUCUUUUUGGGGCCAGUUUUCUUGUCGAGUUGAUCAAGAUGAUGCUGGGGAUUUCUUGGAGUUGAAUAGGUGAAAUAUGUCCCGUCUUACUGAGUUUUUACUGAAUUUUGAUGAAAUGUUGGGAGAUUUUUGGAUCUGGGUUCAGUCUCAAUUGUGUCAGUGCGCUGUGCUUCUUGUUGUGAAUUGGUUUUCUUAGCGCUUUACAGAAGAUGUGAAUUGGAUUCCUUUGAAAAUUUUUGCCGAUUUCGUAGUUGGUAUCAAUAGAAAAAAUUUCUCAAGUUUGUAGGAGUUGUAUUUAGCAUAACAAAAAAAUAAUUUGGAUACUAACUUUGAUGAACUGGUUUGCUUCGUUGGGAUCUUAGAAAUCUGUAUGUAAAUCUUGCUGUUGGCAGAUGCUGUUUGAGUUUGUAAAUUUGGAAACAUCGAUACCUCGAAAUCCUGGAAGAGGCACAGGGUCAACAGUUCUGUACCUCUAAGAAAUCAGUGGUGCGGGGGAAAUUUCCUUUUGAUUAUGGCAGCCAGGAUUUGCUUCUUUCUGUAAACCGUAGUCAGAAUUGAGUUUGUGAAGCCAGAUUGUUGAAGUGGAGACGAUUUAUGAGUGUUCUUGCAACUCGGGCCUUUCUUUGCUUGUCCAUUGGGUUUGUCGACUGAUGGGGUGUUUGUAUUCAAAGGGCUGCAUUGGGCAAGUACCUGACUCCCCAACAGAAUACAGGGGGAACGGAAGCAGAAGGGGAGUCGCAGAUUCUGGUCUUUCUCCUGUUUUGUCAGAUGGACUGGAAGAAGAUGAUCAAGUGCAACAAUUGGGUAUAACAAGGGAUUCAGAUGUGGGUAUCAAUCGUCUCUCGAGGGUUUCAUCGCAGUUCCUUCCUCCGGAAGGGUCAAGGACAGUCAGGGUUCCAUCAGGGAACUAUGAUUUGCGAUACUCCUUCCUAUCUCAACGAGGAUAUUAUCCAGAGGCACUGGAUAAGCAGAACCAAGAUAGUUUCUGCAUUUACACCCCAUUUGGGACUAAUCCUAAUGAUCACUUCUUUGGUGUGUUUGAUGGGCAUGGGGAGUAUGGAGCUCAGUGCUCACAAUUUGUGAAGCGAAAAUUAUGUGAGAACUUGCUCGGGAACAGUCGGUUUCAUCUUGAUGCUGUUGAGGCUUGCAAUGCUGCUUUCUUAACAACAAAUUCACAGCUGCACUCUGAUAGCUUGGAUGAUACAAUGAGCGGGACCACUGCGAUAACCAUAUUGGUAAGGGGUAGAACAAUCUAUGUUGCAAAUGCAGGUGAUUCUAGGGCUGUGAUCGCAGAGAAGAGAGGGAAGGAUAUUGCGGCCGUGGACCUCUCUAUUGAUCAGACUCCUUUUCGAACUGAUGAACUUGAAAGGGUCAAACAUUGUGGAGCGAGGGUGCUGACUUUGGAUCAGAUAGAGGGGCUAAAGAACCCAGAUGUGCAGUGCUGGGGUACUGAAGAAGGUGAUGAUGGUGAUCCUCCAAGACUCUGGGUGCAGAGUGGGAUGUAUCCAGGGACGGCAUUCACACGGAGUAUUGGAGAUUCUAUUGCUGAAUCUAUUGGCGUUGUUGGAGUUCCUGAAAUAUUUGUUAUGGAGCUCAGUUCUAAUCAUCCAUUCUUUGUGAUUGCAAGUGAUGGGGUUUUUGAGUUUCUCUCCAGCCAAACUGUGGUUGACAUGGUUGCUAAGUUCAAGGAUCCUCGUGAUGCAUGCACUGCAAUUGUUGCUGAAUCCUAUCGCCUUUGGCUACAGUACGAAACUCGUACAGAUGACAUUACAAUCAUAGUUGUGCAUAUUAAUGGGCUAACUGAUAUGGAAUCUAUUCAAAAUAUUCCAGAUGUGCCUGUAAGACCAUUGCAACAAAUUGUGGAGGUGACAGGAUCCGAAUCUCCAUCCACCGUAAGCUGGAACUCCAGGAAUCAUCAUGCAAGGCAUGAUUUAUCACUUGCACGAUUGAAAGCCAUUGAGAGUUCCCUCGAGAAUGGUCAUGCUUGGAUUCCACCCGCUCCAUCCCAUAGGAAGACAUGGGAAGAAGAAGCACAUAUUGAGCGGGCAUUGCAUGGUCAUUUUCUUUUUAGAAGGCUCACGGAUUCUCAAUGCCAUGUUUUGCUUGAUUGCAUGCACAGAAUUGAAGUGAAGCGUGGGGAUGUAGUUGUCCAGCAGGGUGGAGAGGCUGACUGCUUUUACGUUGUUGGAAGUGGCGAGUUUGAAGUCCUAGCAACUCAGGAAGAGGAUGGGAAGGAAGUGACCAAGGUUCUGCAUCGCUAUACAGCUGAGAAACUGUCAUCCUUUGGGGAACUAUCAUUAAUGUAUAAUAAACCACUUCAGGCAUCUGUUCAUGCAGUGACUGAUGGAACCCUCUGGGCCUUAAAGCGUGAAGAUUUUCGAGGGAUACUAAUGUCAGAGUUUUCCAAUUUAUCAUUGCUGAAGUUGCUCAGAUCAGUAGAGCUUUUCUCAAGACUGACAAUUCUACAGCUGAGUCACAUUGCUGAUCAUCUCAUGGAAAUCACUUUCUCAGAUGGACAAAUAAUAAUUGAUAAGAAUAACUGUCUCUCUGCAUUGUAUAUUAUUCAAAAGGGUCGGGUGAGGCUAACUUAUAAACCAGAAGUAGUAAGUCCAAAUAUCUGCAGUUUUUUGUCUGCUCAUCUUGCACAAGGAAUUCACAGUCAAGAGCAGGACGAGCAUGUGGUGGAUAUGACAGAGGGAAGUUAUUUCGGCGAAUGGACACUUCUUGGUGAGCAUAUUAGCUUGUUAAGGGCAGUUUCUGUUGGUGAUGUGGUGUGUGCAGUUAUUACAAAGGAGUAUUUUGAUUCAGCCAUCAGGCCUUUGUUAAAUUUUUCGCAGGACAAUUGCAAGUUGAAAGAUUCUCUAGGUUCUUCUAAGGAAAGCACUGUAAAUACUGGUGCUGCAAUGCCCAUGAAGGUUCAGUUCUCUGAUUUGGAAUGGAGAAUGGGCAUUUAUGCGACUGAUUGUAGUGAAAUUGGUCUUGUCUUUGUAAAAAGUUCUGAAAAUAUGCGAAGCUUAAAAAGGUUUUCUAAAAAGAGAAUCAAAGAUCUUGGAAAAGAGGCACAGGUCUCGAAGGAGAAAGAUCUAAUGAAGAGUUUGAGCCCAUCAGCUUGUGUGCCACAAGUUAUAUGCACUUGUGCUGAUCAAUCAUAUGUUGGGAUUUUGCUUAACUGUUGCCUUGCCUGUUCAUUAGCUUCAAUAAUCCACACACCCCUAGAUGAACUCUCUGCGCGAUUCUGUGCUGCUUCUAUUGUUGUUGCUUUAGAAGAACUUCACAAGAAUUCUAUCCUUUAUAGAGGUGUUUCACCAGAGGUUCUGAUGUUUGAUCGAUCAGGGCAUCUGCAGCUGGUAGACUUCAGAUUUGCAAAGAAGUUACUUGGUGAAAGAACUUUCACUGUAUGUGGAAUAGCGGAAUCUUUAGCCCCAGAAAUAGUCCUAGGGAAAGGACAUGGAUUUGCUGUUGACUGGUGGGCUUUGGGAGUCUUGAUCUAUUUUAUGCUCCAAGCUGAAAUGCCAUUUGGGUCAUGGAGAGAUACAGAACUAGAGACAUUUGCAAAGAUUGCCAAAGGACAGCUGACUCUUCCCCAGACCUUCAGCCUAGAAGCGGUUGACCUCAUCACCAAGUUACUUGAAGUUGAUGAAAAUGCACGACUUGGAAGCCAAGGGCCUGAUUCCAUCAAAAAUCAUUCAUGGUUUGGUGAUCUUGACUGGAAGCGAAUUGCUGAUGGCACAUUUCCGAUACCACAGGGAAUUACUUCUCGUAUUGAUGUGUACUUGGAAAAUCAUGCAGAAGACAUCACCAUGCCUGCCUCCUCCUCAUCUCAAGAUCUAGCUGAUGUCGACACCCCAGAAUGGGUGGAGGAUUGGUGAUAUCUUCAGAAGAUAUCUUUGCAGGAUGGAGGAGAAUAUCAGGUGAAACUUUUGUUCUCACAAGCAAGUUUCACUCUGCAGUGAUCAUUAUUUGGUGGUCGGCCUGAAACCUCUUGGUGUCUCCCUGAUGAAUUUAGCUUAUGCCUCUUUAUCAUCUACAAAUGUAUAACUGAUAGAGGUAGAAAAUGGAGAGGAGUUCCUCGCCAGCGUAUCUUAUGCAACUUAAUUAUUGGAAAGCACCACUUCAUCGUGGAUGAUGUCAUAUGAUUGGUUCUCCGGAAUAGCUCUUUAGCAUGGUUUUGACAAAGAUGGUGCUUGCUGGAGUUUGGAUUGAGCACACUGCAUGUCCUGUCACAUAGCCGAGUUCAAAGAUCAGGGUUCUCGUGUAAGAUUUGCUGAAUGAGGUGUUUGUGUCACAUAUGCUUGCUUAUAGCAAAAGCAAAUUUGCCGCUCGUGCGAGACAAAUGAGUCAACUCAUGCUUUCUCGGUCAACUGCCAGGCUUUUGACCGUCCAGUCCCACGAGCCUUCGUAGAGGAGGCCCUCGGCGUGGUAGCAGGCGGCGCAGGUGAUGGUAUCGGGAUGCUGGUGGGAUUUUUUGGGCAGAAUCUUGUAGUAGUCAGCGGCAGGGUGGGGAGCUUCUUGGAUAUCAGAGCCGGUCCGGGACGGAGGCAGAGACGGACCGGACGCCGACCCGGUGGUUCAUAUUAACUAGGCGUAUGUUGGUUCUCGUGGUUGGGGCAUGUUUGGCUAAAUUCACACAAAAAGCACCAUCACUUGGAAAAGUCAAAAGUACCGAAAAGUUAAUGAAGUUCCAUAAUUCUUCAAAAA